rnacentral:lncRNA from 1 species
CCCCGGCCCGCCAGGCAGCCCUGGACGGCGAUCACUCGCCCUAGCCCCACAGCGGCCAGGUGGGGCUCCCGUUAGGGAUGCUCGGACCAAGGGAGCCUCUUUGCGCAGCCUCCUCCCGCUGCGCGGCGCGGGUUGCUAUUUUGGCGAGGACUGGGAGCGGGGCGCCCCCGAUUUGCGCUCGCUCCUCGCCGCUGCAGUCAGGCGAGUCCCCGCCUCCACCUCCGCCAGGCUCCGGGGACUGGAGCGGCGGGGCCGCAGCGCUGAGCGGAGCCCGGCCGGAGCGCAAAGAAGGCUACAUCCCCCAUUCAUCCUCUGGUGGCGAACAGGUGAUUUCUUCCCUUGCUUGAGGCCCAGUGAGGUGCUGCGGAGCCAUCGGUGACACAUUGAGCAGCAGGAAGCAAGGAGGAUCGGGUCCCCUUGUGCAGCAAGAUCUCUUUUUGAGAGCUGUCAAAGCAGUCCCCCCCACACACACCCCGUCCUUCCCUGGACCCAGAGCCACCUGCAGCUGGCGAGUAAUGUGCGAUUCUGGCUGGGAGCAAGGCUGGGAUGGAUUUCAGAGGCAGUGAGCUCCAGCUGUGCCCCAUAGUGCUGGAGUUGUGAUCCUGUCCAACCAGCGAGGAGGAGGGGAAGGGGUCUGGCAGGGCAGGGUGCCUGAGUCCCUGUGAGGCUGAGUGAGGUGGUCUGGUACAGGUGUAUGGUGUGAGGCUGGACGUUGAUCGCCCCCGGCAUGCCUCUGCACAGCCUUCCCGAGGGACCGGAGAUGGGAGGCUCCUGAGAUGCCAGCUCUGCAGAGCCCCUCAUUACUCAUGCUGAGGCGGAGAGCCUGCAGAGGGGUGACUGGGCGUGAGCGUGAGAGCACCCAGGGCCAGGCAUAACAAGUCAGGUAGGGAAGAGGGGAGCGGAGGAGACAAUCACAGGCGAGGGACCCUGCAUUUUCCUAGGGGCCUCAUAUGAGUGUGAACUGAGGGGCAGUGGGGACGGAAUUGUUUUCCUUUUGCUCCUGGCACCCAUGAAAGGUUUUUGGAGCUCCAGGGAUUGGAGUCUGGCAAAGAUACUUGCUCCAGCCUGGCUCCUUGCAUAGUUAAGAGAACAUACUGGCUCUGUGCAUCACUCCUCCUGGCUCCUUCCUCUGGGGCCAGCACUCUGCGGGGUUCUGCUCCUGCCUCCUCUACGCUGCUUUCUGUGAACUGUGAAGCCAGAGAUCAAAGGUCAAGCCAAUCAGGUGCAGAGAUCCACUUCCAAAGGGGUCUGGGGCCUGGGAAGAUGCCUUCCUGCUGAGAGCUCCCCCAU